AGAACUUGUAAGUAUCAAAGCAGCAUUACAGUUCUCAGUCAACAAAUUCAGACUGGAAAGCGAUAUAGAAUAAAGCUUUCAGGCUUAGAUACUAUCAGUCAUUCUUCUGUUUUUCACAGAUCAUUCAUGCCAGCCUGGGACCAUAGCCUUACUCCAGUUACCAAGGUAUGGCACACAAAAAGGCUAAUUUCUGCUUCUCGGUCCCAGGUAGAUGACACAUCAAAGCUACCGAAGGCUCUAUGCCUCUGACAUGAAAAUGGGGAUAUCCAAACAGUCUGUCAAAAACUGAUGAACAACUGAAGAUUCCGGGUUGUGCUACUGUUGAGGCAGUAACAGAUACUGCUGCAACAGUCAGAACUGCAGCCACAGUGGCUACCCCUGGACUGGAAAUGCCGAAGUGUUGUUGUAGCAUAGCUUGGAGGUGGUGGCUUCCAUUACUACAGUUGUGCAGAAUACUGUAGGUUUUUGGUAGCAUGUUUUGGGUUUUUUUUUAACUUCAAUUAAAUAAACAAUCCUAAGAAAUCA
rnacentral:lncRNA from 1 species